GAUGAACGCUGGCGGCGUGCCUAAUACAUGCGAGUCGAGCGAACAGACGAGGAGCUUGCUCCUCUGACGUUAGCGGCGGACGGGUGAGUAACACGUGGAUAACCUACCUAUAAGACUGGGAUAACUUCGGGAAACCGGAGCUAAUACCGGAUAAUAUAUUGAACCGCAUGGUUCAAUAGUGAAAGACGGUUUUGCUGUCACUUAUAGAUGGAUCCGCGCCGCAUUAGCUAGUUGGUAAGGUAACGGCUUACCAAGGCAACGAUUCGUAGCCGACCUGAGAGGGUGAUCGGCCACACUGGAACUGAGACACGGUCCAGACUCCUACGGGAGGCAGCAGUAGGGAAUCUUCCGCAAUGGGCGAAAGCCUGACGGAGCAACGCCGCGUGAGUGAUGAAGGUCUUCGGAUCGUAAAACUCUGUUAUUAGGGAAGAACAAAUGUGUAAGUAACUAUGCACGUCUUGACGGUACCUAAUCAGAAAGCCACGGCUAACGACGUG
rnacentral:rRNA from 1 species